UGGCUUGCCCCAGUUCGCCCCGAACCGUCAGGCCGUGGUCGACCAGAACCCUCCCCGCCAUGGUUGCAGCUUUCGAAGAUUCAUCACCGUCACUGUUUGGUUCAACUUCCUCCACGUCCUCCUCUAAACAUGUCCUGAACAGCAGAGCAGUGAUCUAGCGCCACUAAUGGGCCUCGGCCCAAGUCCUCCGGCUCAGAUCAACGCCCGGUGCGGCCCAGCUCAAUCUGACACCGAAGCUGGCUAGAUCUGGCCCAGAAAUAGCGCAGCAUUUGCUUCUUCCCGGAUAGGAUCG